AUAUUAUGUUUUUUUUACAGAGCGCACUGGGCCGCCAAACAUGACGCAAUCAGAAAUGAGGGGGACGAUGUGACAAUCAAAUCACAAUCCGGGCAUUUAAGUUUUGUAAUUGUGAUGCAAACAAUUUAACUCCAUGAACGAGGAGUCGUGGGCGGCAAGCUAUUGUUGCCAGCAGCCGCGGCUAUUCCCGCUCCUACUCCGCGUAUAUCUAAAAUAUUAGCAAUUAAAAGCUGGUAGGUGGGUUUCGGGGCGCCUUUCAGCAGUCAACCUAGGUUGAGUAUUGUUGUGGCUUGAGUUAAUGCGGGGCCUUGAUUCUGGACAUCUUUGUACAGUACUGAGAUUACGCAUGGUUUUACUAAGUAAAAUGGAUUUAUCAAGGCGGGCCCCCCCGAAGAAAACGUUGGCGAGGAAUAACAUGAUAGGAGUUUACCAUAUUAUGGUGGCUUGUAGGCGUGGGAUAAUUAUUAAGAGGAACAGUGGGGGGCCUUCGUUUUUCAUUGUCAGAGGUGAAAUUCUGGGAUAUAUGAAAGAGGAAUUAAUAAGAAAGCAUUUGCCAAGGAUGUUUUCAUUAAUCAAGAACGAAAGUUGGGGGCUCGAAGGCGAUUAGAUACCGUUGUAGUCUCAACCAUAAACGAUGCCGACUAGGGAUUGGCGGACGUUUUUGCAUGACUCCGUCAGCACCUUGAGAGAAAUCAAAGUUUUUGGGUUCCGGGGGGAGUAUGGUCGCAAGGCUGAAACUUAAAGGAAUUGACGGAAGGGCACCACCAGGAGUGGAGCCUGCGGCUUAAUUUGACUCAACACGGGAAAACUUACCAGGUCCAGACAUAGGAAGGAUUGACAGAUUGAGAGCUCUUCUGAGCUAUGGGGGCC
rnacentral:rRNA from 1 species